AAACGUUGAAGAGCUGGGACGCGGAAGUUCAUCAGCUCCUCUCAACGUCGACAACAACAGAGGUCGGUCGCGGGGGCAGUAGCUUCGACAGGGACGUCCAGACUUCCCUCUACCCAGCCACUUCAUCCAGCUCUUCCGGGGGGAUCCCGAGGCGUUCCCGGGCCAGCCGAAGGACGUGGUCUCUCCUGCGUGUCCCGGGUCGCCUCCCGGUGGAACGUCCCCUCCAAGGACUCCAAAAAGGGUGGGUGCUGCUGUUUGGUGCAUAGGCACAAACAACACUCAGGACCCGUGCCCCCCCAUCCGAAGGCGAAGGGAGGCUACCCUCUCGUCCACCGGGGUGGACCCCAGCGUACAGGCGCCGAGCCGGGGGGCAAUAAGUAUACCGGCUCGGGCUCCUUCCCUGCCACAGAGAUGACAUUCCCGCAUCCCAAGAGCCAGUUUCUGUAGCCGGGAUCGGAUCGCCAAGGUCCCCGCCUUCGGCCGACGCCCAGCUCGCACUGCACCCGACCCCUAUGACCCCUCCCGCAAGUGGGGUCUUUCAGGCGUGCUUUGUCUGGUCCCUCACCAAGGACCUGUUUGUCACGGGUGACCCUGCCAGGGGCAUAAAGCCCCAGACAACUUAGCUCCUAGGAUCAUUGGGACACACAAACCCCUCCACCACGAUAAGGUAAUGUAUUGCAGGAGGGGGGAAACAGAAUUACUGUUGUAGUCUCGUUAUGUAUUGAUGAUCCAUUUGCUGCUGCUUCUGUCUUAUAAAGCCACCAAACGUGAAAGUCUUCAAUUUGAUUUGUUUCAUGAAUUCAUCAAGCUGCCAGUCAUCUUUCCAAACGCUCGGACGAGGCUGCCCCAGAAGAGGAAAAGUGGAAGUGAGCCCUUUUAUUAUUAUUACAGUGUUAACAUUUUUAAAUCCUUCCAAUGUUCUAAAAGUGAAAAUUGCGAUAUUGUUUGUGCUUGUGCGCAUGCGCGGAAACCUCAGUGGCGUGUACGUCGCUUGCCUGUGAUCGUUCCUCGCGUGCAGAUUGGUUCGCUGGGAGGUGACGUCACGCACAUUCGAUUUAUGGACUGUUCUUUUUAGUCAACACCCGCCUUCCAAUAAUGCGCACAAAUUUCCGUCUUUUUUAUUUGUAUUGUUUUUACAAACUUUAGUCGUACGUCCACAGUGAACGUGAGCACACCCGAAGGCAUUUGGGGGGAGGAGUUUGAUGACGAAUCCGGAAAAAGCGUCCUCUGUUGGUCACAAACUUUGUAUUUUGU